CUCACACAAUUCCAUCUUCUUUCUCUGGCAACCUUCACCAUCUUCUCCUUUCACGAUCCUGCCGAUCUUGCCAUCCCUGACGUACGUCGUCGCUGUCUCCAUCCACGAUUGUUCACUACACUCUUAACCACUAGAUUUUGAGGUUAAGGUCAUGUCAUCACCCUCUUUCUCCUAUUUUUUCUCUCUCUCUCGGCCAUCUCACCUCUCUUUCCCCAGGUCACUAUCACGAUGUCGUUGCACUUGCCGUCUCAGAUCUGCCGCCUAGAUCCACUGCAAACAGAUCCGCCACAUGGGUCCAUAGCCUACACAGAUUUGCCACUCAGCUUAUAAUUUUCCAUUUGCUUAUGCAAAUCAAAGGCAUAAGUGAGACAGAAGGUGAGUUUGAGGCUUUACUCUGGGACUUCAAGAUCAAUUAUAACUUGACACAUUUUGUGAGGAACAAGGAGUUCAAGGAAGUUGCUGAUAAAAUGGAAGAAGCUCUCAAUUAGAUCUUUGUGGAAUUUCUUGAGUGGUCUUGCACUACUAAGUUCUCUGGGUUUCUUCUCUACAAAGAGCUGGGACAGAGGGUUAAGCCAGAUCGCCAAGCCUACCAUUUUGGGAAUUCGUCUGGUUGGGGAGCUGGGAACACAGCUACACAAGAAGAAAUUCACUCAUUCCCUGAUGUCGGGGAUUCUUGAAGUCAUUUGUUCGGACUCAUUAAGACGACGCUCAAGGAAAGAGCAAGGUGAUGAAAUGGGCAUUGUCGGGAUUACCUCAUCCAAAAGUUAGUGAAUCGUCUUCUUCGUUUGGCCUAUCGGAGCUAUUUCUGACAUUGGAAAAUCUCGGUUUGGAAAAUUUGUUGAGAUUCUUGAAGUCGUUGUUCGGACUCAUUAAGACGAUGCUCAAGGAAAGAGCAAGGUGAUGAAAUGGGCACUGCCAGGAUUACCUCCUCCAAAGGUUAGUGAAUCGUCUUCUUCAUUUGGCCCGUCGAAGCUAUUUCUGACAUUGGAAAAUCAACUACAAUCAUCUUUCCAAAAGAUACCAUAGUACCAUAAACUAGUUGCCGCAGAACAUCUGAUUGCACAUAUUUCCCUUCCCUUGUAACUUGGGAAAACCUGCGAAGUUUAGAGCCAACUUUAGAAGGUUUGUUCAACUGAAUGUAUGAUAUAUAUGCAUACCAAUUAAAGAGUCUCUAUUUAUGUAUUUUCUUUGUUUUUUGAAUUUUUGUAAAAUGGAACAAUAGAAAUGAGAUUCGCCAAGGUUCAUCCCUGAAACCAGCAAGGAAAUGAUCCCCAUUCCUAUACCCAAUAGAUAGACAUGACCAUUGUACAAGUCUGAGGAAGAAUGAGAUGUUUGAACAUCUACUUGCAGACACUAAGCA